ACCACCACCCCCCCCUGCCACCACAUGAGGCUCCGCCUCCUCGCUUCAGAGACAAACAGCGAGCGCCGCAACACCGCGCCUUCACCUCUAGCCCGCACGACUACGACAUGCGUGUGGACGACUUCCUGCGGCGGACGCAGGCGGUGGUGAGCAGCCGGCGUGAGCGCGAGCGGCAGCGUGAACGUGACCGUGGUGGACCCCGCCGGGAGAGAGAGAGAGAGGGACAAGGAGAGGGGGCGGUACCGCAGGUGAACUGAUGAUGUCAUAUCCUGUCAGCCUGCAGGGGCUUUUAUUUUGAUGGUCAGCAGCUGUGUUGCUGUUUCCUGUUUUUUGUUGAGCUACGUGAUGACAUCAUCAGUUUUUAUGUGAAUAAAAUAUUUAAAAACUGUUAAAAAAAAAAAAAAACCUGGUGAUUUCUGGUGAGUUUAAUCAAAACUUUUAUUUUGAUGAUCCUGUGUAAAAAGGGAAGUGACAUCACAGCACAGGGACCUGUCACACGUUAACAACAAAACAUUUUAUUUUUCUCUCAUCAUUGCCUCUUUUAUUGUGAAAGGAUGGACAGUUCUUCCUGUGUACUCCUUUAACUCAAUUUAAAACCCAUGAAGAAGAGUUUCACCUCCUUUUUGUACGUUUUUUAACUUUAGUUUUGUUGUUAAAUUUAAACUCGUCCAGCUUCAGUUCGUUUAUUUAUUUUAAUUUUAUAUUUGACUUUUUUCUGCUGGUGACGAUAAAAAAUCUGCUUCCUGUAAAACGUCAGACUUUUUUUUUUUUUUCCCCUUUAUGCUCAAUCACUUCUGAUUGGACCAUGGUGACCAAACGUCCAGAUGAUCAGAUUUAUUGUGUAUUGAUCGGCAGCAGGUCAAACUGAUCAGUGGAGUCUCAGUGUUAAAAAGGUGAAAACUUUACUUCCUGUUUCUGAAUGGAGGGGGCGGAGCUUGUGUCUGUUUUUGUACAAAAUAAAAGAAAUAAAAUCUGAAA